GGCCGUUUCUGGCCAAAUUCGGCCACACUCGCAUCGGUCCCUGUGAGAAAACAACCCUAGGGCCCUCGGGGGGCCAAAAAAUCACGAAAAAAUGGAGCUUACCGGCGGCGGCACUCUCGGGUGCGGCGGCUCUCCGGCGAGGUUCGUGUUUUGGUGAUUCGGCUCUGGUCAACCUGUAGAGAAAAGAAUGGUGAUCACGGUGAUAUAAAAAUUGCAUCAAACGGAGGCCGGGAAGGGCCUCAUCGGAGGCAAAAACCGAGAAGGGGCGCGGCGGCGCCGCUGGGCUUCGGCCGUGUAUUCCGGCCGUUUAGCCAGGAUUUUGGCUCCGAUUUGGCCACAGGAGGAAUCAGCGUGGAAAAACGAGUCGGGGGUACGAAAUUUACCUCGAUCGGCGGUCGAAAAUUCCUCCGAUGCGGCGGCAAGUGGCGGCGGCCGGCUUCUGGUUCGUCUUCUCCGGCGAGCGGCAGGCGGCUAGGG
rnacentral:lncRNA from 1 species